GAUGAACUCUAGCUACAGGCUUAACACAUGCAAGUCGAGGGGCAGCAUGGUCUUAUCUUGCUAAGGCCGAUGGCAACCGGCGCACGGGUGAGUAACGCGUAUCCAACCUGCCUUACACUCUUGGACAGCCUUCUGAAAGGGAGAUUAAUACAAGAUGUUAUCAUGAGUAAGCAUUUUUCACAUGAUUAAAGGUUUACCGGUGUAAGAUGGGGAUGCGUUCCAUUAGAUAGUAGGCGGGGUAACGGCCCACCUAGUCUUCGAUGGAUAGGGGUUCUGAGAGGAAGGUCCCCCACAUUGGAACUGAGACACGGUCCAAACUCCUACGGGAGGCAGCAGUGAGGAAUAUUGGUCAAUGGACGAGAGUCUGAACCAGCCAAGUAGCGUGAAGGAUGAAGGUUCUAUGGAUUGUAAACUUCUUUUAUACGGGAAUAAACGAAUCCACGUGUGGAUUUUUGCAUGUACCGUAUGAAUAAGGAUCGGCUAACUCCGUGCCAGCAGCCGCGGUAAUACGGAGGAUCCGAGCGUUAUCCGGAUUUAUUGGGUUUAAAGGGAGCGUAGAUGGGUUGUUAAGUCAGUUGUGAAAGUUUGCGGCUCAACCGUAAAAUUGCAAUUGAUACUGGCAGUCUUGAGUACAGUUGAGGUAGGCGGAAUUCAUGGUGUAGCGGUGAAAUGCUUAGAUAUCACGAAGAACUCCGAUUGCGAAGGCAGCUUACUAACCUGUAACUGACAUUGAUGCUCGAAAGUGUGGGUAUCAAACAGGAUUAGAUACCCUGGUAGUCCACACGGUAAACGAUGAAUACUCGCUGUAGGCGAUAUACAGUCUGCGGCCAAGCGAAAGCAUUAAGUAUUCCACCUGGGGAGUACGCCGGCAACGGUGAAACUCAAAGGAAUUGACGGGGGCCCGCACAAGCGGAGGAACAUGUGGUUUAAUUCGAUGAUACGCGAGGAACCUUACCCGGGCUUAAAUUGCAACCGAAUAUGGCGGAAACGCUAUAGCUAGCAAUAGCGGUUGUGAAGGUGCUGCAUGGUUGUCGUCAGCUCGUGCCGUGAGGUGUCGGCUUAAGUGCCAUAACGAGCGCAACCCUUGCCGAUAGUUACUAACAGGUCAUGCUGAGGACUCUGUCGGGACUGCCAUCGUAAGAUGUGAGGAAGGUGGGGAUGACGUCAAAUCAGCACGGCCCUUACGUCCGGGGCUACACACGUGUUACAAUGGGGGGUACAGAGGGCUGCUACCACGCAAGUGGAUGCCAAUCCCAAAAACCUCUCUCAGUUCGGAUUGAAGUCUGCAACCCGACUUCAUGAAGCUGGAUUCGCUAGUAAUCGCGCAUCAGCCACGGCGCGGUGAAUACGUUCCCGGGCCUUGCACA
rnacentral:rRNA from 1 species